UCAGGCGGCGGGUAGUGGGCACCGAUGGGGGUACCGGUCGUCUCUCCGGCAGCCCCUCCAUAGGCUGGGUCCUUCAGGAACCAGGACCGGCGGGUCCCAAGUGGGCAUCUCCCCAGCAGCCCUGCGGGUGCACCUGGUCGAGUCACUCCUACCCCAGGUAGCAAGGACUCAUUACCAAGGCCGGUGCAGGGCACAUCCCGCAGGAGCUCUAUGGGAGGCGUAAAUGCCCGUCUCUGUGGCUCCGCCUGGGAGCACAUACUCUAGAGAAGCAGUCGGAGACACCUUCUGCAUUCCAUACAGGUGCCUCACGCGGUUGGCCCACGUGAGCAAAUGGAGAAACUGAGUCACGGGGCUGGCAAGUGGUUCUGCAGAAGCUGCGAGGCUGAGUCAUGCCUGGUACCGGGAGUUUGCGGGCCUCACGUGAGGGCUACGCCCAGGGCUAGAUGUGGAACCCCUUGAGCCCAGAGCAGGUAAUGGUUUUCUGGUGGCUAAGAGGCAGAGAGUAUAUCGGAAUUACCUGGGGAACAUCUUCAAGAUCAGACUUCCUCCCAACGGAACAAAGGCAAAGCCGGUUGGUGAGGUCAUCAGUAAGGAACUCUUGCUCCGGAGGCCCGAGGCUCUGCACAGACUUGCCUGG